UACAGGGAGUAGUUUAAGUAGAAUUUCAGCUUUGGGUGUUGAUGGUGAGGUAGGUAGCCUCUUCCCU
rnacentral:tRNA from 4 species